GUCGUUGGACGAAGGCAGGAGGCGAAACGUUUUCACGCUUGACGUUUCCGUGACGAUACUACCCACGCGAAGCUGCCCUCGCCAAUCCUUAGUCACAGGUGACGCUGAGGUCCCUUCCGAAUCGGCUUUCGGCGUGGCGGGCGCGGCCGGUGCGG
rnacentral:misc_RNA from 1 species